CUCUAGUCGCUCACAAGGGGGAGAUUGGACUAUGAAAAAAGGUUUCUGCUGCAGCUUGCAUUCCUGCUGCAAGGGCCUCCUCUUCAGACAGCCUUUGCCAGAGCAGAACUUUUCAAAAUGCUACAAAUAGGAUCUUCUUUUUUUCUCCUUUAUUUAACCCUUCUCCUUUUUUAAAAAAAAAAUGGGACUAAUUUUUCUUGUUUUCGGUGCUGUGCUUGGCUGUACAGUAUAUCGCAAUGUUGAGGUUAAAGCUACAAGUAUUUCUACCACCACCCCCGCUGAUCCAUUUUUUUUCCGUCUUGGUUAAAGAAAUUGAUUUAUUUGACUGAGCAAUGAAUCAGGAUUUGCUAGUCUGUAUGCUGUGAGAAUGAUGGCUUUUAUUUGAAAUUUUUUUCUCAGUGCCAAUGCCUUGUGCUGCUCAUGGAACCAGCUUCUUUCUUUCUGUAUGUUUUUUAAUUGCUUCAGGUAUCUGUGCCACAUGAACAAGGAUGGAUGAUAGCCCUCCAACCCCCUUGUAAUCUGACCGUGGCUGAAAUGGAAAUACUGCGGGGCUUUUUUGUCCUUGCAGGGUCCCUCCCCUCCCUUUCUUUCACUGUUUAGGAGGGAAAAGGGGUGUGCAGUAAAAUGCUGUCUCUGGGACAGGUGCCAGCUCCAAGACAAAAGGAAUAAAAUAGGCGGUAAAUGGGGAAAAUUAAUAGUCAACAAAAAUAGGAAUUGGAAAUGUGUAAGCGGCAACAUUGGUAGAAGUGUUGUCGGCUAUCCAGCCUUUCUGUUGAAUUUUAUCUGCAGAUAUUAGGCUAAAAGGAGAAAGUUUAGGCAUACUUUUUUAUUCAUCCUCUCUAUAGGCAUUUGAAAAGAUAAGGCGGUCUUUUUUUUUUUUUUUUGGACUACUGAAUUAUUCAUAGUGUCAGUGGUGAAGCCAGGACCAUUAGCAUGCAUCAGACAUGCUGUUUGUCUGUUUGCUAACAUUCUUCAUUCAAGACUUGUUAACUACCAGACAAGCUUAACACGCUUCUCUUUUCCCCCUCCCCUUCUCUCUCUCUCUCUCUCUCUCUGUCUCUUUCUCUCUCUCUUCUUUUCAUGCUACCCCUUUAGUCACCUAUUGUUGUUGCUGGGAGCUGGCAGCCAGGGGUAGUUGUGGCAGGGAAAGCAUGUGGACGAAAAGCUGGAACCCGUUGCUAGGAGACUGCAGAACUGCAAGGUGAACACAUUGGCAUCCUCUCUCCAUAUCUGGUCCCUGAGGCUUGUUUCCCACCAUUCACAGGGCCCUCAGAAGUUAUACCAACCAGAAUCCACUCUCAACUACCUUGGGCAUGUGCCUGCUCUGAUGUCACAGAUAACAGGAAAGGGACCGUGCUGCAGCAUAGAUCUGGAGGUUAGCGGCAAACAACCGGGAAACUGAUUUUUCAUUAAAAACAGACUCUUCUACUUUAUGAAAGCUACAUCUUCCAUAGUUGUCUCCUGCGCAGAACAUCAACCCAGUAGUACUUGAGUCGAAUUUACAAAACCAAUCAUAUCUGAAUGCUUUCAAAAUCAGACGAGCUAGUUCUUCCACCUCUAGAUCUAAGAAGUCUCUCCAUUUACUAUCCUAUCUUCCCAGUAAUUCUAACACGAGAAUCUGGAUCAAUGUUCUGCCCAAAGUGAGGGAAAGACUGUAAUUUUCCAUACUGGGAGAAAUCUGUAAAACUGUCAUCUAGUUUCCUGACAAGUUUUUUCUGACACCAUCUCUGAAAGAAUGUUUCAUUCUCGAAUAUAUAUGUGAGCAGGUUUGCAGAAACUUUUCAGAGAUUUUGAUGCUUAUAAUUCAUUUGUAUUUCACUCCAGAGUCAUUGCUGCCAGUGGAUCUUUAUAGUUCAUAAAACCUACAUGCUUGUGUUAUAAUAGAAAGUGCCAAGCUCUUAAUGAGGUAUGUUUUAGUAUGUGUUUUGGAAUUAGUCAUACAAGUUCCAUGAGUUGCAUGCAUCAGUGGCAGUGGACAGUCAAUUACUGUGCAGGACUCCAAAUGUUCAUUCUGAGCCUUCUCUGAAAGGAUGGUGUUGUGGGGGUAACAGGGCUAUGGCACUCAGUAGGUUAAAUUACCUUUGAAAUGUUCAGAGGUGCUAUUUUUACAAUGUUGGUCUUUUUAAAGUAUGGUAUAUUUCUAAAGCUACAUUGCAACCCCAAUUAUUCAAAGGUCUCAGGGCACAUGCAAAACCUUUUAGAUAAUCCGUACAGAGAAAAAAUGUAAGUGUGUUUAUUUACUUAUUUUCUUUAUUGAAAAAUGCUCAAUUUUAUUUUAUCCUGGCUUUUUAGGAUUUUUCAGUAAGAAUGUUUUAUUCUGGAUGAAGAUGCAAGCAGUUUGGCUUACAGCACCCUUUUUUGCUGUUACUUGUACAGUAUUUAGAAACUCAACAGGCUUCUGUUGAUCAGUAAUGGGCAGGAAUGUAAGCUUAUGCCAAGUGAAUAGCUGUCUUUCAUUCCUUUCUCAUACUUAACGGCAAAGUGUCAGAAAUAAUCAUCUCAGUUGUUGAAACAAAAGAAUACAAUACCCGAAGUAAGGCUUGGUAACAUUUAGCAGCAGCAUCUGUGUUAGAUUUUGUGUGUCGAUAACCUUUUUUUAUUGGAGGGUGGCGGAUUGUUUCUGAUUAUUCCCUUCUUGGCAUGCAUGUGACCCAAGACAUGAAUUUAAAAUAUUUUGAAUGAUGUGAAACCCAAGAUAAACAUCAACUUUAGAGGUCAUUGCCACUGUCUCAUAGAUGUUAAAUGUAUGUAAACCAUUUAACAAAGAGUAUUUGAUAUUUUUGGUGCUAGUUCCCUUCCCUACUUCCAUUGGUCCCAAAUAUGCAAACAUGUUUAACACUUGAAUAGAUUAUUUAAAUGUUGUGUCUUAGUAUCCAAAUGCAGUUAUGAGGCUGAUGAAUUUUCAGCAAUCUACAUAGUAUAUUGAUACAUAUCGAGAUGCAUUACAUAAUAAAAAGAUGUUGUACUGUAGGUCUGUAUUUUAUUGGAAAAGAAAAUACAAACCCACUACUUGUACUUUCUUUAGUACAAUAUUCCCCUUGUUUAUUUGGUGCCAUCUCACUGUAAGUAAUAUGUAAUUUAUAAUUUACUUACUGCAUCAUUCAUCUCCAGUGCAACUAGUUAUAAUCAUGACAGUCUAUUAGUUCUCUUUCCUUUAACUCUGCCUAGCAGGUUAAUUUCCAUUAGUAAGAUCCUGCUUUUUC